rnacentral:lncRNA from 10 species
GCCCAGAAACUCUAGCUGCGCUCUGGCAGGCUGCGAGCUAGGUUUUGGAGAGAGGUGAGAGCCGUGUGGAGGCCAAUGGCAUCCUCCAUUUGUUUUUCAAUAAGAUAAACGUGCACUUGCAGGCGAGAGAAGAAAAGCAUUGAUUAGAAUGGGAUCAUGACUUUUUUUUUUUUUGGAUACAAGGUCUGGCUGUGUCACCUAGGCUGGAGUAUAGCGGCGCGAUCCCUGCUCACUGCAGCCUCAACCUCCUGGGCUCAAGCGAUCCUCCCCGCCUCAGUUCCCCCAGUAGCUGGGACCACAGGCGCGCGCCACCACGCCCGGCUAAUUGUGUUUUUUAUAGAGACAGGGUUUCGCCAUGUUGCCCAGGCUGGUCUCGAACUCCUGGGCUCAGGUGAUCUGCCCGCCUCGGCCUCCCGAAGUACUGGGAAUACAGGUGUGAGCCACUGCUUCUGGUCAGAUUAUGAGUGAUUUUUUUCUUUUAUUUCUAAACUAUAUUGUUACUUUGAUAAUUUUAAAACAAUAAGUCUAUCUUGAAAACAUGCCAAGUGAAAGAAACCAGUCACAACCACAUAUUGUAUGAUUCCAUUUGUAUGAAAGGUACCAAACAGGCAAAUUGUAUAACAGAAAUUAGUGGUUGCCAGAGGUUGGGGGGAGGGGAGGAUAGAGAAUGACUGCUAUCAAAUAGGGUGUUUCUUUCUGAGUGAUGA